CUAAGGACUGCACAAUACAGUGAAGGACUGAUCAUGGCACCAAUGCUGAUGAGAACAGCUGGAAAAGGCAGCCCAUUGGACAAGUCUCUGCUUUUCUUCACUGGAUACAGAGAAGACAGGCCCAAGACUUUUCUCAGAAGCUCAUUGUGAAAGGAUGAGAGGCAAAAGACAAGUUGUAACAAGAAACAGUAAGAUCAGGAGCAAGAGAGAGGGAACAAGACUCACCUACUACCAGAACCUCCAGAAGAAACCUGUGAAUACUCUUCACAUUAAAAGUGCCCCUGUG